rnacentral:rRNA from 1 species
UGGGGAAUAUUGCACAAUGGGCGGAAGCCUGAUGCAGCGACGCCGCGUGGGGGAUGAAGGCCUUCGGGUUGUAAACUCCUUUCGACAGGGACGAAGCUUUUGUGACGGUACCUGUAUAAGAAGCACCGGCUAACUACGUGCCAGCAGCCGCGGUAAUACGUAGGGUGCGAGCGUUGUCCGGAAUUACUGGGCGUAAAGAGCUCGUAGGUGGUUUGUCGCGUCGUCUGUGAAAUUCCGGGGCUUAACUCCGGGCGUGCAGGCGAUACGGGCUGACUUGAGUGCUGUAGGGGAGACUGGAAUUCCUGGUGUAGCGGUGAAAUGCACAGAUAUCAGGAGGAACACCGAUGGCGAAGGCAGGUCUCUGGGCAGUAACUGACGCUGAGGAGCGAAAGCAUGGGUAGCGAACAGGAUUAGAUACCCUGGUAGUCCAUGCCGUAAACGGUGGGCGCUAGGUGUAGGGGGCUUCCACGUCUUCUGUGCCGUAGCUAACGCAUUAAGCGCCCCGCCUGGGGAGUACGGCCGGCAAGGCUUAA